CUUCAACCCCAAGUACCAGCACGAAGGCUUCUACUUCGAUCCUGAAGUGCAUCCUCAGCCGUGAGAUUAAGGAGAAGCGGCUCCAGAGCCUGUCCAGGAAGUUCAUCGACUGGGCCUAAGGGUCCCUGUCGUCCUCAAUGUACGAGCUCAAAGUGGACACCACGACGGACAACUCGGUGCUGGAAAUCAUCGUCUACAACACCAACAUCGAUAGAGCCAGGACCAUCUUGGAGUUUGAGAAAAUGUUACCAGAAUGGCUGAGGAGCAGAUUCCGGAUGGGCGAGCUGUGUAAAGUGGCCGAGGAAGAUUUCUGACUGUGUUUGCGGUAACGGAGGGAGAAGGGCCCUUUGCUUGGUGCUCCUUGGGUGGGUGAAGAAAGAUGAGCUGGUGGAUGUUAGACAAAUGGGGCUGCCAAUUGCUUGCCAAACCACAGGGCUGUUCUGCCUCCUCAGAAGACAGAACCUGCUCUUCCGGGGUCCCUGGACCUGGACAGGCUUCCUGAGUUUCUGAAGGAAAAGGGAGGAGACUCUGACUUUUUGGAGGUUCCUUAGAAGAGAUCUGCCAGCCUGACACUCUUUGCGACCCAGGGGA